rnacentral:lncRNA from 1 species
CCGUUGUUUAUUACCCCAAUAGCUGAGCUUACCCAUGGGCAUAGGGAGCUCCUUACAUGACUGUUUUAAAAGAUUUUUUAUAUGCAUCUCCUCUCUCGCAUCCUGGCCUCCCUCUGUCCUUAGGGAACUGCCUGCUGGAGGAUUCACACACCAAAGUAACAGCCCUCAUCUCUGAGGGGCAGCAUCACCUGUUAGGUUCCUUUUCUGCUAGUCAUCAACACGCGUCCCCAUUAAGGGAGCAUUCUUUUGCAAGAGUCACCUGUUUCCCCUUCAAUACUUACGAAGGAAUGAACCAAGGCACCGGUCAGGCAGAAGAAACCUGCCAGUCGCUGUGAUUCCUUCAGACCCAGCACAUCCCCAUCCACCUAGGCCGUGUGGACACCACCUGCAGCAGCCCCUACCCACGUAAGAAGUGCUGGCUCCCUAGCAGGUCCUUGGCAAAGGGCGGGAGGGAGAUGACGAGGCGGAAGGAGUGCCAGCUUUUCGGAUCCCGACUCUCACCUAAGGAGAUGAAUGAUGCAAACUUGUAACAUCGUCUGGAAGUGUAUUUAUUUAAAUUUCUUUUCCCUCUAAGCAGUUUUGCGACUGCUGAACGGUAAAUUCCUCGUUCUUUGUACUAGCACAUUCCUCAUUUACUUACUUUCUAGCUGGCAGGGACCCUGCAAGGGGUCAAAAUCGGAUCUCCUUUGCAAAUGGCAUUAGGCGGGUCUCCCCUCCGACUUUCUCACGCGCGCCUCUGCCCGCCCCCUCUAGUGCGCGGCACCUGCGGAAGACGCCCCACCUCGCCGCUGGGCGGGGCUGGCAGGGUGGACGCUGGAUUUCUCUGGCUCCCGGCGCUGCCCGAGUAUCUCAACUCUCACCUGCUCCCAGGAACAAUGAAGCGACGCUCAAGUUUGAGUGCAAGUAGUGGCUUCCUAUUCGGGACUAGAGAUGCGACGGUGGCCCCGAGGUACCCCAAGACUGCCGUACGGGGUACAACUGGGUCUUUGCUGACGGCGUGCUGCCUCCGCCAGGUCACAGUUUUAGAAGAAAACCAAAGAGUGUGA